rnacentral:rRNA from 1 species
UACAGAGGUCUCAAGCGUUGUUCGGAAUCACUGGGCGUAAAGGGUGCGUAGGUGGCGUGGUAAGUCAGAUGUGAAAGCCCGGGGCUCACCCUCGGAACUGCAUCCGAUACUGCCAUGCUGGAGAACUGGAGGGGAGUCUAGAAUUCACGGUGUAGCAGUGAAAUGCGUAGAUAUCGUGAGGAAUACCAAAGGCGAAGGCCGGACUCUGGACAGUUUCUGACACUGAGGCACGAAGGCUAGGGGAGCGAACGGG